CUCCUCCCCCAGGGACCUCAGGCUGGGGAGGCCAGGCUGUUCAGAGGUCUGUUCUAAAGAUUCCCAGUGACAAGCAGUGAAGACAGCUAGAACGGAGGAAGAAAGCCAACGGGGUGAUCAUCAAGGAGGGGUAGAGAUGUGAAUGGCCAGGAUGGCUGCCACUUACUCCUUCUGGGUCCCAGCAUCUCUGUAGAAGACAAGGACAUAUUAUCGAAGACAGUGUCACCCACGGUGCCCCACACGAAAGGCAUGCAGCUCUGUCCACAACAGGCCUGGGCCCAGCCGUCCCUCUGGGGGUCUCAGCCCUCCCCUGGGGUCCUGCCUCCUCACAGACAUACACUCACACCAAGAGGGGACCAGUGGAGGCUGCUGGGGGUUCAGCCUGCACAAAAGCUCACAAAGCGCAGCAGGGAGUUCGCGGUGAUGUGGAGAAGGGCGGCUCAGGGGACGGAAGAACGGGAAGGAGUGGAGUCAGGGAAGAAUGGGGAUGGGGAGCUGCGAGCCUGGGGCUGGAGCACCUGCCACCUGCCCAGCUACCGAAGCCCAGAACUGAAACUAAUGCAAUUUAAAACUCACCCAAAGGCGGAGAAUCUGGAAGGGAGAGAAAGAGAAAAUAAUUAGAGCCCCAGAGGUUUUUGGCCCAUGGCCUCUCCCUUCUGUAGACCCCUGCAGCCUAUACCCUCUGAGGGCUUGUCGAUGGUGGGCUUCAGGCCGUCCUGGUCCGCCAUGCCCCUGAUGCUCAUGGAGGUCAGUGGGGUCACAAACCCAUAGUCCAGCGACAUCUGCAGGGCCUGGGAUGACAGGUUGGCCCUCUCCUCCCUGUCCACCUUCAUCCUGCAUUCAAGACAGAGGCUGGCUCCAAGCCCCGACUUGCACGGCCCUCAUCCUUUCACCUAUCCAUUCACUUAUUCAUUCAUUCAUUCAUUCAUUCAUUCAUUCGACACAUAAGUAUUAAGCCCCCAUGGUGUCCUAUGCAGUGGCUACAUCCUCAGGGGCCUCCAGGUUUAAUGAUCUCUUACAGAGAUCACUUGGAGAUUCGGUGGGGUUGAGGGGCAUGCCUCAGAGAUACGCAGAGACGUUAACAGCUGUGAGAUCUGGGUCAAGAGGUCUAACCUCGCUGAGCCUCUGUGUGCUGAGUGUGGGUAAAUAGCAGGCUGCCUUGUGCCCUGGUGGGCCUGCCCGGACUGUUGACUGACUGGUUGAUAUUAACUCAGUGAGCAAAGCAGAAGAGGAAAGUAAAUCUGACCUACUUGCCCCAGAACCACCCCUCCUCUGCUCACCUCCAAGGGGUGGGGGGACUCUGGGGUGGGCAGUGCCCACCUGGGGCAGCUGCAGGUGCCCUACCGCUUGGCCAGCAGCUCCUGGAUGGUGAGGUAGGCCCAGAGGCGCUCGACGUGGUUCUCCAGCAUGUGGCCACGCUCUCGGAGCAGUUUCUUCAUCUCCUCCUCAUCCACUAGGCAGGUUAUACUGAAUUCUUGUCCCUCCUGAGAGUUGAGGUACAGAGAGGGGUGGUGCACCAUGAUAAGCACGGCCCCUGGCUGGUGCUAGGGGCUCUGAGGGGCCCAUUUCGUCUGGUAUCUGCAGCUUCGUCCUCAGCAUCACCUGCUUCCCUGAGCCUGUUCGCCUCAUCCUAUUCGUUGAUUCUUGCCAAGCACCCUCUGCAAGCCAGGCUUGGCCUGGACCCUAGGGAUCCCAUGGAAUGGGAGAACCAGGCCCUGCCUUGUGGAGUUUCUCUAGGGGAGGCCAAUAAGCACCCGGCUGUUUCCACUAUGACCCACUCCAAAUGCCCACCAAAUUCUAGGUGGGCUGCACCAUUCAACUUGCCACGGCACACAAAUGUGCCUCCUCCAUCCAGCUACAUUAACCGGGGCACCACUUCCCAAGGGCAUCCUAUGCACCAGCUGCUGCCUAAGGGUAUUAUAUGGAUUAUUCCAUUUACUCCACACAAUGCUCUGAUGCAGUAUGGUACAGAAAAGGAAACUGAGGCCUAGGGAACUGGACCCCUUGCCCAAGGAUGCCCAGCUGGU
rnacentral:lncRNA from 10 species